rnacentral:lncRNA from 1 species
AGGUUUCCUCAUCUAUAAAAGAGGGAAACACUCUAAAACCUACCUCAUAGUAGUGUUCUUGUAAGGGUAAUAUGAGUUAAGUUCUAUAAAAAGCUCAGAAUAGAGUUGAGAGUAACUGAGGUUGUCCAGGCCCUUCUCAGAUGUCUUGAAUUUUUGUGGAAAAGGAAGGAAUCGGGUGGAUUAGAAGCACCUAUUCCUCAUGCGAGAACAGUGUUUAUGCCAAACCAGGCAGGGUGGUUCAGCCCAAGGAAAGAAUUCAAACCAGCCCUGUAAUGUUUAAUUUCCCCUUGACCAUUCCAUGGCUGACAUCUGAUAUGCAGUGCUGAGUCUUUCCGAUGGCACCUGUUUUCCAAUUGUUGACUUGUACUUAUCAUCACUGCAAAACACUAAGGCAUGAAUUCUACUGAUAGCGGGAAAUCCAGC